AGUUUGCUAGGCUGUGGAUUCUGGACAAGAGAACAGGAUCUGCUAGAAAAGCAAGGGAAAUACGGUAGGAGUGGUUUUCCCCAUUCAUGGGCUCAGAGGAAAGGUAUUCAAUGUAAAAACCAUAGAGAAGUGUUCUUUUUUGUCAAAUAAUAUUUAAAGAAUAUGUGUAUGUCUUUAUUAUAAAGCUACAGCGCUGGUCUUGGAGACUCACAGGGUGAGCCUAGUUUUUUACCUUGUGUCCCAGCUACAUGACUCGUGGUAAAUGUCUUAAACCAAUUAGCUGUAGGUUAGUAGUAUCUCGUAAGAUUGUGGUAGAAUCAAAUUCAUAGUAUAACUGAUGUAUAGUGCUUGGUACAUGGUCAUUGUUCAGCAUUGAUGGUUAUCACUGUCAUCAGCAAUGCUGUUAGCCUCUGACACUAAUUUUCUUAGCUUGCUAUUCCAGGCCAGGUCCAGUAAGCUGGCUUCAUUCUGUAUAUAGUGAAAAGUAGGUGCGGAGCAUAUAGUCAGUCCCCAGUACAUUCUGGCGAAAAAUGUAGUGAGUGAAUUAGUCUGUCAGUUAUAUA
rnacentral:lncRNA from 1 species